CUGCCAGACUCCUACGGGAGGCAGCAGUGGGGAAUAUUGCGCAAUGGGGGCAACCCUGACGCAGCAACGCCGCGUGAUUGAAGAAGGCCUUCGGGUUGUAAAGAUCUUUAAUCAGGGACGAAAAAUGACGGUACCUGAAGAAUAAGCUCCGGCUAACUACGUGCCAGCAGCCGCGGUAAUACGUAGGGAGCAAGCGUUAUCCGGAUUUACUGGGUGUAAAGGGCGUGUAGGCGGGCUUGUAAGUCAGAAGUGAAAUCUGGGGGCUUAACCCCCAAACUGCUUUUGAAACUGCGGGUCUUGAGUGAUGGAGAGGCAGGCGGAAUUCCCAGUGUAGCGGUGAAAUGCGUAGAUAUUGGGAGGAACACCAGUGGCGAAGGCGGCCUGCCGCAGCGUUACUGACGCUGAAGCUCGAAAGCGCGGGUAUCGAACAGGAUUAGAUACCCCCGUA
rnacentral:rRNA from 1 species